rnacentral:rRNA from 1 species
UCCGUGCUCAGGAUGACGCUGGCGGCGUGCUUAACACAUGCAAGUCGAACGGAGGACCCUUGACGGAGUUUUCGGACAACUGAUAGGAAUCCUUAGUGGCGGACGGGUGAGUAACGCGUGAGCAACCUGCCUUGGAGUGGGGAAUAACACAGUGAAAAUUGUGCUAAUACCGCAUGAUAUGACUGUAUCGCAUGGUACUGGUCAUCAAAGAUUUAUCGCUCUGAGAUGGACUCGCGUCUGAUUAGCUGGUUGGCGGGGUAACGGCCCACCAAGGCGACGAUCAGUAGCCGGACUGAGAGGUUGGCCGGCCACAUUGGGACUGAGACACGGCCCAGACUCCUACGGGAGGCAGCAGUGGGGAAUAUUGGGCAAUGGGCGCAAGCCUGACCCAGCAACGCCGCGUGAAGGAAGAAGGCUUUCGGGUUGUAAACUUCUUUUAUCAGGGACGAAACAAAUGACGGUACCUGAUGAAUAAGCCACGGCUAACUACGUG